CGGAAGGUUAUUGCCGCCAUCUUAUUGCACGAUGAUAUUGAGGAUCAGCUCUCGGUCGUCAGUUUAGGGACAGGAAACUGCUUCGUCGCGGGCGAUAACCUUUGUGAUGAGGGGAAUGUAAUUCACGACUCUCACGCUGAAAUCAUCGCUAAAAGGGGAUUUCAGAGGUACUUGUUGAAAGAAAUCUAUGGUUUAACAGACAGAAGAAUAUUUAAACAGACGUUAUUCGGGACUCUGAAGGUUAUGUCUCACCUGUCUUUUCACCUCUAUAUCUCCACGGCCCCGUGUGGUGAUGGGGCAGUCUUUACACAUGCGGAUCCUCACCACACUGACGGAGAUCACGAACCAGUAUUCAGAAAACAACAGCACGGUCUUCUCAGAACCAAAGUGGAGAAAGGUGAGGGGACGAUACCUACAGACGACACCCCCCAGACACUGGACGGAAUCCGCCGCGGACAGCGCCUGCGCACUAUGUCGUGUAGUGACAAGAUCUGUCGCUGGAACGUUCUGGGAAUACAGGGGGCGCUUCUGUCUCUAUUCCUGGUGGAACCGAUUUAUCUUUCUUCCAUCACACUUGGUAUGUUAUUCAAUGACGGGCACAUGUCACGUGCAAUGUGUUGCCGUGUAGAUGGCAACGGCCGGCCUCUGACCGGUCUACCCCCGGGAUACAGGGCCCAGCACCCAAAACUUGGCUGUGUUACCCGGGUUACCGACACUCGUUCUGUGGACAGAUCCAGCCCACUCAGCGUCAACUGGAACAUGGCAGAUAACAGUGUAGAAGUGACGGAUGCGACACGCGGGAUGACGACACGAAAUACCGCGUCCCGACUCUGCAAAAGAUCCUUAUUUCUAUCCUUCUCUCGGAUUAACUGUUGGAAAGACAUCGGACAAUCGACCUAUCGAGAGACAAAGGACUCAGCCACGAAAUACGGUGCCGCGAAAGAAGUGUUCGAAUCGGCGAUGUAUAAAAAUGGGUACGGUCAGUGGGUCAGGAAACCCCCGGAAGUAGAUUUGUUCUAUUUAUUAACAUGUAACAUCCCAUACGUACAUGUACGCAAAAACUUUUGUCGGAUUGGUUAUAGGGCAAGUGGAAAAAGUCAUAUCAUUACAAACUGACACUGAACUGGACAGCUGAGCAGCACGAUACAUGGCAGUCCAGCAAUUGCCAGCAAACAAUGAGGCGACUACCGGAGCUUCAAUACUUUUACUCUGCAAUUAAAAAAUCAAACACUC
rnacentral:misc_RNA from 1 species